GACGAACGCUGGCGGCGUGCUUAACACAUGCAAGUCGAACGGAAAGGCCUGCUUUCCCUUGUGGAUUGCGGGUACUCGAGUGGCGAACGGGUGAGUAACACGUGAGUGAUCUGCCCCCAACUUGGGUAUAAGCCUGGGAAACUGGGUCUAAUUCCCGAUAGGACUGCAGGGUGGUGCCUGUGGUGGAAAACGAUUUUCUAGUGGUUGGGGAUGAGCUCGCGGCCUAUCAGCUUGUUGGUGGGGUAAUGGCCUACCAAGGCGGCGACGGGUAGCCGGCCUGGGAGGGUGGACGGGCACAUUGGGACUGAGAUACGGCCCAGACGCCUACGGGAGGCAGCAGUGGGGAAUAUUGCACAAUGGGCGGAAGCCUGAUGCAGCGACGCCGCGGGGGGGAUGACGGCCUUCGGGUGGUAAACUCCUUUCGACCGCGAGGAAGCCACCUGGUUGGAAGGGUGGUGACGGUAGUGGUAGAAGAAGCACCGGCUAACUACGUG
rnacentral:rRNA from 1 species